UAAUAGGGUUGGGUGAAGAGACGUAAGAAUCUUGGACUCUUCAAGAUAUGUCACCCUUCUACAAAUUCCACACUCCAAAAGAAACAAGGGAUGCCCCUUCUUUUAUUUUUCUAUGUAAAAUCAGAUCUUAGUUUGAUUUUCCAUGAUAAAAAUCCUCCUCAAAGUAUUGCACACAUAAGGAGAAAAAAUAAGUUGGCAUAUGGAGUGAUUUUGAUAAGAAUAGAUUCUCUUGAUAAGAAAUAUUUUGAAAUUUAUCAAAAUCAAAUUAGAUUUGGCAUGG
rnacentral:lncRNA from 1 species